rnacentral:lncRNA from 1 species
CGAGAAAGUACAGAAAAAACAAGGCGCACUUAAAAUCCUUUAAUUUUCCCCAAAAUCGUCAGUGCACCUUUAAAUCCAGUGCGCCUAAACUAUGAAUUUUACCAGUCAGGUUGGAAGGAGCAAUAAAGCCACUCUGCUGAAGUACAGCGUUAUACAGGAGUUUCAGUUCAGUUCUUCAACACCAGGACUGGAGCAGCAUUAGCGUUAGCCACUAACCGCUAUUUUACCAUUUAGAGGCCACCCACCAGAACAAGUCACGACAGCGUCCGGCCUCAAUUAUGGCAUUGUCAGGGCCAGCUGAAGUAUUUGCACACCGGCGGUGGAGAAGUGGCGCGGCAGGUUCGUCCGAGCCGGAGCUGACCCCGACCACGGACUUCACGAUGGCCCUCUUAUUGCAGUCCAUUUACAGACUGCGUUUACUUCAUAGCUGUGGAGCAGAGGGGGGAGAGAGAAUGAUUGAUGCUCCAGCAAGACGUGCAGCAACAAUAAGGAGGCGGCCUGUAAUGCUGGAACAGGUGGCGCAGCGGCUCGUGACGCUGGUAUGGGUGGUGUGGCAGCUCGUGAUGCUGGGACAGGCGGUGCAGCGGCCCGUGAUGCUGGGACAGGCGGCGCGUCUUGUGCCGAUGAAGCAGGCGACUCGGCAGCUCGUGAUGCUGUGACAGGCGGCUCACACUUUUUAUUCUCCUUAAAACUAAGCUUAUUAUUAAAAUUAGAUAAAAGAAACAGUGUUGAAUUGGGAAAAUUUUAUUGUAUAUUUGUGUUAGUUGUGUAAUUUGCUUUAAGAAACUGUAUUAAUCACAACAAUUUUCUGUGAAAAAUUUUAAUCAUUGUUAAACAAAUUGAAAUGCUG